rnacentral:rRNA from 1 species
UACGUAGGGUGCGAGCGUUAAUCGGAAUUACUGGGCGUAAAGCGUGCGCAGGCGGUUCGUUGUGUCGGCGGUGAAAGCCCCGGGCUUAACCUGGGAAUGGCCGUUGAAACUGGCGAACUGGAGUGUGGCAGAGGGGGGUGGAAUUCCGGCGUGUAGCAGUGAAAUGCGUAGAGAUGCGGAGGAACAUCCAUGGCGAAGGCAGCUACCUGGACCAACACUGACACUGAGGCACGAAAGCGUGGGGAGCAAACAGG